ACGAACGCUUGCGGCGUGCCUAAGAAAUGCAAGUCGAGCGAGGGGAGAGGCUUCGGCCUGGAUCCUAGCGGCGAACGGGUCGCGUAACACGUAAGCAACCUGCCCCGAAGACCGGGACAACUCCUCGAAAGGGGGGGCUAAUACCGGAUGUGGCCCUGGGGAGACAUGUUUCCAGGAUUAAAGCCUGCACAAGGGCUUCGGGAGGGGCUUGCGGCCUAUCAGCUAGUUGGUGGGGGGUAACGGCCCUACCAAGGCGACGACGGGUAGCGGGUCUGAGAGGACGAUCCGCCGGACUGGGACUGAGAUACGGCCCAGACUCCUACGGGGGGCAGCAAUUAGGAAUCUUGCACAAUGGGGGAAACCCUGAUGCAGCGACGUCGCGUGGAGGAUGAAAUCUUUCGGGAUGUAACUCCUUUUACCAGGGAAGAAGAAUGUGACAGUACCUGGGGAAUAAGCCCCGGCUAACUACGUGCCAGCAGCCGCGGGUAAUACGUAGGGGGCGAGCGUUGUCCGAAGUUACUGGGCGUAAAGAGCGCGUAGGCGGGUCUUUAAGUGAGGGGUGAAAGGUUAGGGCUCAACCCUAACACUGCCUUUCAUACUGGGGACCUUGAGUGCGGGAGAGGGCGAGUGGAAUGGGGUGCUGUGUGUAGCGGUGAAAUGCGUAGAAUAUCGAUCGGAACACCCAUGGCGAAGGCAGCUCGCUGGCCUGCAACUGACGCUGAGGCGCGAAAGCGUGGGGAGCAAACAGGAUUAGAUACCCUGGUAGUCCACGCCGUAAACGAUGAGUGCUAGGUGUCAGGGGGUAUCGACCCCCCCUGGUGCCGCAGCUAACGCAAUAAGCACUCCGCCUGGGGAGUACGGCCGCAAGGUUGAUAACUCAAAGGAAUUGACGGGGGCCCGCACAAGCGGUGGAGCAUGUGCAUUAAUUCGUCACUAACCGAAGAACCUUACCAGGGUUUUGACAUCUCCGGACAGUCCGUGAAAGCGGAUCUUCCCCGCAAGGGGACUGGAAGACAGGUGUUGCAUGGUUGUCGUCAGCUCGUGUCGUGAGAUGUUGGGUUAAGUCCCGCAACGAGCGCAACCCUCACCCAAUGUUGCCAGCGUUAAGUCGGGCACUCUUUGGGAACUGCCCGUGUAAGCGGGAGGAAGGUGGGGAUGACGUCAAAUCGGCAUGGCCCCUUACAUCCUGGGCUUGACACAUGCUACAAUGGCCGUUAAACAAAGGGACGCAAUACCGCGAGGUGGAGCCAAUCUCAAAAAUACGGUCUCAGUUCAGAUUGCAGGCUGCAACUCGCCUGCAUGAAGUCGGAAUCGCUAGUAACCACAGGUCAGCUAAACUGCGGUGAAUACGUUCCCGGGCCUUGUACACACUGCCCGUCAAGUCACUUGAUUUGUCUGCACCCGAAGCCGCUGGCUCAACCGCAAGGAGAGAGGCGUCUAAGGUGUGGGGAGAGAGAGGGACU
rnacentral:rRNA from 1 species